UAUAACAUAUAUGUGUGUGUGUGUGUGUGUGUGUGUGUGUGUGUGAAAUUACUCGGGGAGACCCCCCGAACAACAUACUAAAAAAUAAAUGAAAUCGGAGAGAUGGCCCCUUUUAUGCAUAAUUACUCUGAUCGAAGUUGAGAAGUCUUUCGAAGUAUAAUAAGUAUCCAUUAUUCGUAAGAUUUGCGUAUGAACAUAUUUGUACAGAUAGAUGUAACCAGAUUAUCGAGUUGUGAAACUUUGACCUUAUUGAAACUUUGACAUUAAACCUCGAGCCGUGAGCAUUUCGGCGAGUAUUUCUGUGGUUUUUAUCGAGAUGAGUAACAUAAACUCGCCGAAAUGCUUGCAGCUUGAGAUUUGGCUCAAGAUUUGGCUCGAUAGCCUCCACGUGCGUUUAGAAUGUAUGUACUUGACUAAUUAAUAAUAACGGCGUGUGCGUGUGCGUGUGCUUGUAUGUGCGAGACAGAGCGAGAGAGAGAGAGAGAGAGAGAGAGAGAGAGAGAGAAUCAGCAACAUAUGCAUUGUGCAUCGAUAGAUAUUUAUAAGACACUCUUAUAUUUAAGACUGUUUGAAGUAUUAUCUUGUUAUAAACCAAUCAUAUUUAAAAAAUUGACAAGUUGUAAAGUUGCUUUUUCUGCUUGAACGCAGCCAUUACUUGCAUUAUUAUUAUUUUACAGCUCUCACAUAUCUUUUGUCAACACAUUUUCACAAUAUUUCAACAAUUUAUGAAAAUAUGCAUUUUGUACAGCAAAGCAAAGUAUACGGCUUACCAAUAAAAAUGAUGAUUUCUCAGAGUUAAUAGAAAAAUUGAAUUUAGACAUAUCUGAAGAUUCCAAAACAUUCCAAAAGAGCAAAUUACAAUGCAGCUUCUUUCAUACAUGAACCUCCGAAGCAAAAAGUCAAACAAAAAGGCAUUGCGACAAAGAAAAAUCAUAAUAAAGCAUCUAUUGCUUUGUCAAGAAAUAGCAUAAUAAAAUGUGUUACUACUUCUGCUGAUAUUACAAAAAUUCAUCAAGAAGCUAUCGAUAAAGCAGAAGAAAUGCAAACGUAUGUACAACCGUACAUAAUAGUUAUGGGUUCUAUUGCAAACGUAUCAAACUCAUAUGUCACGAUUGAUGAAGUGUUGUAUUCAACGGAAUCAACGUUAGAAGCUUUAGAUGUGAGCUUCAAAGCUUUUCACGUAUUGAAAAUAAAUUAUCCAGAUGCUAGCAAGCAUUUAUGGAUAUUUGUACAAAAAGGAUUGUACAAGGUAUACACACAGUGAGACAUGUCAUUUUCAAAUACUGAACAUGUUCUGAGAAAGCUUACAAUAAAUUCAGUCUAAAAUGAUCCAAUAUGUAGCAGGCAGUUAAUGUAAGUUAUUAUUUUUUCCGUUAUAAAUUGAUUCCUUUAUAAAUUUUCAUUUAUAUCAUUAUAUAACUGUAUUGUUAGAUGAUAUAAGUAUACUUUUAGUUUUGUUUAUAUAAUUAUAUAAUUAUAUACAUAUGUAUAUGACAUGUAAUUCGUAAGUCAAUACAUAUUGUACAAUACAUAGUAAUGUUUCUAAAGAAAUUGUUGUCUAACCUUUACAUUUUUUGAUAAAACUAAAUAUUAAACUAAAAAAUCAUACAGUAUUAACAUAAUAAUUACAAGCUUUCUAUAUCCAAAAUGUUUAAUUGUAUGUUUUAAUAAAGUGUUUUCUUAUUUCACGCAUUUAAAAUGCCAUAUUAAACUUAAACUUGUCGAUCAAUUAUAUUCAGAAACUAAAUGUAACUUUUCGAAUUGCAUGAAAUCAUAUACUACUGUUUAUUUACUACUUCGACACAUAUGUACAGCCCAUGAUAUUAAAUCAGAUAAAGGAAUUGAAUUUUA